rnacentral:rRNA from 1 species
ACGGAAGGCAGCAGUGGGGAAUAUUGGACAAUGGGGGAAACCCUGAUCCAGCGACGCCGCGUGAGUGAAGAAGUAUUUCGGUAUGUAAAGCUCUAUCAGCAGGGAAGAUAAUGACGGUACCUGACUAAGAAGCCCCGGCUAACUACGUGCCAGCAGCCGCGGUAAUACGUAGGGGGCAAGCGUUAUCCGGAUUUACUGGGUGUAAAGGGUGCGUAGGUGGCAUGGUAAGUCAGAUGUGAAAUACCGGGGCUCAACCCCGGGGCUGCAUUUGAAACUGCCAGGCUGGAGUACAGGAGAGGCAAGCGGAAUUCCUAGUGUAGCGGUGAAAUGCGUAGAUAUUAGGAGGAACACCAGUGGCGAAGGCGGCUUGCUGGACUGUUACUGACACUGAGGCACGAAAGCGUGGGGAGCAAACAGGAUUAGAUACCCUGGUA